rnacentral:sRNA from 1 species
CGGGCUACUAUGGCUCGGUUCCUGCGCC